AGGACAUAAAAUUAAAUCGGGAUCGGCAUUUCGCUUUGUGUAUACCAAAGGUGGCGAAAAACGGGCAACUCGCAGACAAGGUUUUAGGAACUAUAAUUAGAUCAUGAUGUCAGAGGACAAAACAAUGCAGAUAGCACCAUAUCAAAGAAACCAAGAGGCAGAGCUAGGGGAGGAGUGUAGUGAAAAGGUGCAGAUAUUUGAAAAUCCUGACCAUGUUACAGAAAAUGAAGAAGAAGAUAAUCAACAACAGAAAAUAUCACAGGUAUUUUUAUAUUGCUCAAUGCUAUUACCUGAAUAACCUCUGACGUACAGGCUUUAUUGUUGAGGAGUCACCUGCAUGGCGCAGUGGGUAAAGCAUAUACUAUAUUGUCGCGAAGUAAGGAGUAGUUCCUUAAUAUGUCGAAAGUUCAAAUCUCACUGUGGAAUGUGGAGACUGGGCAUUGGGAUUAGACCGUAUAAACCAAGGUCUGGUGUCACAGUAGUUGUUGGCACAAUUAAGAUCCCUCCCUGCUAA